UCUCUGCUGCCGGCUCUGCUCAUCGGUUGAACCGACGCUGUUCAAAUCUGUGCGUCGGAUCAACCGGUGAGUUAUACCGUGCUGUGUCUUGCGCUGUUUCUUCGUGUUUGCUUCCGCACUUGUUCACGCUUUGUUCCUAGGGGUGUUUAGUGUUGGUGUAACUCUUCAUAGCUACUCCACACGUCACCUAGGACUCGAGGGUUUGGGUGUACACUUGGGAAUCAACCAAAUCACUUCAAGAGGUGAAAUUUUUAUUUGGCUCCCAUUAACCCUCCUCUGGUCGCCUUUCGGGCCCCUCGAUAGCCUUCGGUGGCAACACAUCCCGUCUAGUCUGAUUUUCAGUCAGGCUUCCUGGGUGAACCUGGGGCCAAAAGCAAUCGAACUAUUAUUUUUCUCUUUUCUGGAGUUAGUUGGGCGCCUUGGCGCACCAGGAAUGACUGGGUCUUCUCAGACAUCCUGGUGAAACACCCAAAAUAUAGCUCGUAGAGCUUUUGGAUUUCUUCAGCACUGGUGUCUCCUGUCGACCAAGGAAGCGAAGAGGGCGGCGGAGGAUCUGUUGAACAAGCUUCAUGUGGAGCUCCAGGCGAUCUGAAGACAGGGAUGCUUGUCUUUUAAUCUGUGUUUUCUGCUUUCUCUUGCUUUUUUGUUCCUGACAGCUCUAGGAUGGAGAGCAGGUAAGAUCUGGAGAGAGCUUUCUGUUCCUUCUUUUGUUCUAGCUGGUUUCUUCCGACUCCUUUGUUAUGCGGUGGAGAGAGGGAAGGUUUUGGAGUGAGCCGUGCGCUCUUUUUCUUCAUGUAAGCUGGUGGCCUCGGCAGAGUUGUUACCUAUUUGCUUUCAAUUUAAAGCAGGACCAAGGGGUCUUUGGUCUAAAAGCACCCCCAUCCAUAGGCCAUCCCUUGAAGAAUAUCCUCGAAAUGUCCGGAGUUGGAUUGGCCACGAGAAUCAACGUACUUUAAUGAUGAAAGGUAGCAUUGAUCUGAACCAAGCUGCACCGAGCUUCGAUUCGGCAGCUAGCAGGGACGUGGAGGAGAAGUUAAAGGGUAAGCCGAAUGGAAAGAGUAAACAAGUUAGCACACAACAAUGUAGGUGUUACAAAGUUGUACAGCAUUCUCGUUACUUUCUUUGGUUCAAUGGAAAAUGUUUGGACAACGAAGCGCUGCUUGAAAAAUCUAUGCCAGAAGAUCAAUAGAGAGUUGGCAAUUGAUGAUAUAAAUAAGACAUUGGGUCUGUUCAGAGAUUUAAGGAAAAUAGACCCAGGUUUUGUUUACAGUGUUGAGACAGAUAGUGAAGGUUGCAUUAAAACACUGAUGUGGACAAAUAGUAGAAACCGGAUGCAGUACCUUCAUUUUGGGGAUGUAAUCACCUUUGACACAACAUACAAGACAAAUCUGUAUGAUAUGCCAUUUGGAUUGUUUGUUGGGGUAAACAAUCAUUUCCAAAGUGUGUUGCUUGGAGGUGUGGUGACGACGGAUGAGACAAUUGAAAGUUUCAGAUGGGUUUUCAAGGAGUGUG